rnacentral:lncRNA from 1 species
GGAACGAGGUAGAGAAUAUGAAUGGUAGGUAAGAGAGUCGGCAUGAGGCUGGAGGCUUACGUUUUCUGCUGUCGAUGACUGCAUUAGGUUAUUUUCGUACUCUCUACUCGAUUGCCGUGCGAGCGGCCCACCCGCCCUCCCACUAACAGCCAAAUGGCUGAUCGGAAUUGUCUUUGAAGGGUUUGGGUACCGCGGGAGUGUGGUCGCAGACGCAAUGGCCUUCCCCACAAUAAGUUAGUAGUGAGUACGGAUCACGCGAUGACGUUUAAGCAAUCCCUUCUCCCCCUUCCCACGUACAGGUACUGCAGCGACAGGUGCCGAGGCAACAGGGGCAAGAACGCUGCAGAACCAGAAUCAGCGCUUUCGAAGGAAUAAUCAUACAGGAAUUGACUUUGAUUGCAUCACAUCUGUCCUGACGAAUUUUCAUUUACUCAGCUCGACGACAGAUAUUCGUCUGCUGCAGAAUUUUUGGAACGUCCAGUUGCUGUUCGGCCCAGUUGCAGUUCACGUACAUUUGUAAGGUUGCCCAAGAAAUCGACUGCUCUCGCCUUACAUAUG